UAUGUUUUUAAAGUACUAAUAUAUAUAACCCAGAACCCACUAAGGAUGUUACCUGUUAGAACUCAUUGGAAGAAAACUUUACAGAGAUGUGUUAAUUUUGAAGUAGCAUGAUGAUUGUUUUCAUGUAACUAGAGGCUUCUAUAGUGUUUAAUGAAAAUUUGUGUGUAUGUUAAACAUAGUUUAACGUAUUUACACUACUAAUUACAUCAACAAACCAUGUUUUCACAGAUACUUCUCAAAUUUCAGAAAAUUCUGGGAAAGUCAAGGUCAUGUGCUAUAAGGGUUUGGAACAACAUAGAUUUCUCAAUCAGUGAGGUUUUAUUUCAUUAGUGUUUCAGUGCUACUUUGUGAAAUUUUUUUUUUUUUUUAAUUGUGAAUUUAAAAUUUUCGUUUCUGUAGAGGUGGAAAAGGCUGGUUAUUCCCCUGCAUUCUUUUCUCCCCUUCCCUCCUAAAUCUGGUAACAUCAUUUGUACAGCAUGUUUUAAUUUUUCCCUUUCUAUUUUGUUUAGCACUAUCUUCCCUUGUGCCUUCAUUCUCUUCAUAUAAACAGCAUGAAAUUGGAAAUAAUCAUUGUCUGUUGUAAUUCUGAAGAUCAGAAUUUUCCCAGUUUCAUGUUGUCUUCUCUCAGUUUCAGAUAAAAAUAAGUCCUAUGAAGAAAAAUGAAGCCAUAUAAGGGAAUGGAGAAUAACAGAGGACGGUCCUCUUAUAUAAGACCUUUCUGAAGAGAGAUGUGAGCAAAGACCCAAAUGAAGUUGGGGAGAAGGAACAACAAGCACAAGAUCUUGAGGCUGCAAGAAGGACUCACCACUUUCAAAAAAUACCAAGAAGGUCAGUAUAAUGCAGCACUGACCAUGAUGACUGGGUCCCACUGAGAUGAAGAAAGAGGGAGGACAUUCAGAAAUGGCCCCAGCUUGCAGCAGAGCAGAGGUUCUGAAUGAUGACUGACGCGGGUUUGUGUGAUAUCUCUCACAGUCACUGUCAUUCCCCAGCGAUAAGGAACCCGCACGUCUAGCCCCAGCACCAGGGCAAAAAGCAGCUCUGGAAGGAGGAAAGCUUCCGCUUGCGGAACCGGACAAAAGUGCAGCCUGCUCAAGGGUUUCUUAUCCAGACACCCCGCCUCGGCCAGCUCGCCGCUCUCGCGGCAGGCGG